GGGUGCGUGGCGAAACUGGUAGACGCAUACGCUUCAGGUGCGUACGGAGCAAUCUGUGUGGGUUCGAGUCCCACCGCGCCCA
rfam:Parcubacteria (Falkowbacteria) bacterium GW2011_GWE1_38_31 TS91_C0001, whole genome shotgun sequence.